GCCCCGGCAGCUGACCUGGUGACAGCGCCUGUCUGAAAAGCAGGAGAGGCCGGUUCGAUUCCGAGCCCGGGGCACCA
rnacentral:tRNA from 1 species